CACGGUGUGGCCUCAGCAUCAGGGAUAUUUGCAACAUCCAUAUGGCUUCCAGAACAAGAGAGCAGGGAGGUCGGCAUCUACGAUUAAUAAGACAUAGAGAAGUCAUUCACCAGAAGUCCUCUUAGAAAAAGCAGUGCUUUUGACUGGAAAAGAAUGAUGAGUUGCAAAAGUAUGAUAGAGGAAACUGAGGUACUGACAGGUCAGAGCGCCUCCGAGAGAAAAAGGCGGUGGCCUUGGAGCUCUGGUCUCCUUAACUGCACCCUGGGAAGUCUUCACACGGCCUUUCUUCCCCUGGUGGUCUAAUCUGGAGUCAGAUCCAGCCGUCAGCUCUUACAGACGGGGAAGGACCGGGAGCCAACGGGAAAACAACAGGUUUCUAUAAUUCAUCAUUCACUCCUUUCUGAAAACCUAGAAUGAAAAAGUUUAGCAGCUCAGCGCCGCGGCCUCUCUCCAUUCUCUCCCCAAACACAUCGGCCUGUUUGUUCUCUUUCAUCCCCGCUCUUCCUGUUGCAUUCUGCCGGUUCAAUGGGGAAGGAGUGAAACCGGAUGGCUGGACCCAGUGCGGGGAAAUGACUUCAGAGCCACCUUUGUUUCCCUCAUUCCUUUGAGCGCACUUGGCCCUGCGUCUCUAUGAAAGGGCUUGUUUGAACCAUUCGGAACAUCCAGCAAGCCAGAGAUGCUGCGGCCAGAACCGCUCGCAUCUUUUCAGGCUGCCUGAGACUCUGGGUUAAACUGCCAAAUUUUUGCAACAAAACUAACCAUGACAUUGGACAUUGUGUUAUAAAUUAGCCACAGCCUUCCAAGCAAAUUGUCUCUUUUUAUUGUAUCAGUGUAAGCCUCGGAAACAUU
rnacentral:lncRNA from 1 species